UGGGGAAUAUUGGACAAUGGGCGCAAGCCUGAUCCAGCAAUACCGCGUGAGUGAUGAAGGUCUUCGGAUUGUAAAGCUCUUUUAGUAGGGAAGAUAAUGACGGUACCUACAGAAAAAGCACCGGCAAACUUCGUGCCAGCAGCCGCGGUAAUACGAAGGGUGCUAGCGUUGUUCGGAAUCACUGGGCGUAAAGCGUACGUAGGCGGUUUGGUAAGUCGAUUGUGAAAUCCCCGAGCUUAACUCGGGAAUUGCAACCGAAACUGCCUUGCUAGAGUAUGGUGGGGGAUAGUGGAAUUCCUAGUGUAGGGGUGAAAUCCGUAGAUAUUAGGAGGAAUACCGGUGGCGAAAGCGACUAUCUACGCCAUUACUGACGCUAAGGUACGAAAGCGUGGGGAGCAAACAGG
rnacentral:rRNA from 1 species